UUUAUGAUGUUUGGCCAUUGUUUGCUUAUUUGUGAUUACAAGUUUGAAGGCUACUUGAUGUUGUUGCUGACCUAUUUUGUAGUUUUCUUUUGUAGCUCAAUGCAGGUCCAUUGGUUCACUCCCCUUGGUAUCUUGGUCAUGAGCAUAUGGAGUUUUCAUCGUGGAAUCAGAGGACGUCCGAUGAGACUAGGCUAAACAUGUACACACCGUUUUGGAAAAAUGAUGGGUUCAAGCACGAAACUGACAAGACUUUGCUAGUUCCCCUCAAAGAGUCCUGCAACAUGCGUGGACAUGGACAAUCAAUCCCAAGUGGCUUCUACGAGCACGCUCAACUUCUUUUUG